rnacentral:rRNA from 1 species
UACAGAGGGUGCAAGCGUUGUUCGGAAUUAUUGGGCGUAAAGCGCGUGUAGGCGGCUUUGCAAGUCGGGUGUGAAAGCCCUCAGCUCAACUGAGGAAGUGCGCCCGAAACUGCAGAGCUUGAGUGCCGGAGAGGGUGGCGGAAUUCCCCAAGUAGAGGUGAAAUUCGUAGAUAUGGGGAGGAACACCGGUGGCGAAGGCGGCCACCUGGACAGUAACUGACGCUGAGACGCGAAAGCGUGGGGAGCAAACAGG